rnacentral:rRNA from 1 species
GACGAACGCUGGCGGCGUGCUUAACACAUGCAAGUCGAACGAAGUGGCGAACGGGUGAGUAACGCGUAAUCAACCUGCCCUUCAGAGGGGAACAAAAGUGGAAACCGACGCCUAAUACCCAUUACUGAAGGAGGGGUUUGCGUCGGAUUGGCUAGUUGGAGGGGUAACGGCCCACCAGGGCGAUGAUCAGUAGCCGGUCUGAGAGGAUGAACGGCCACAUUGGGACUGAGACACGGCCCAGACUCCUACGGGAGGCAGCAGUGGGGAAUCUUCCGCAAUGGACGAAAGUCUGACGGAGCACGCCGCGUGAGUGAUGACGGCCUUCGGGUUGUAAAGCUCUGUUAAUCGGGACGCGGUACCGGAAUAGAAAGCCACGGCUAACUACGUGCCAGCCGCCGCGGUAAUAC